GAACUUCAACAAAAGGGAACAGAGACUGACUGACCCCCGACCCCCGCCACCGCAAGACAAUCCCUGAUGCAGAAUCAGACAAGCUGGGAGUUCUGGGUGGUGCAGAAAUUACUGCUGGAGAGAUGGCUCAGCAGCCUCUACUUCCUGAUCCACACAGAUGUAUGCAAACAACCUCGUGUUCUUGUCUUCACUCCUGUGAGCGGCUUUGCUCUAAUGUCUUCCCUGCUGUGAUCGACUGGACCCUCAAACCAUAAGCCAAAGCAAAUCCUUCCUCUCGUUGCCAUGUGCCAGUCAUUUGGUCAAAGCAAUGAAAACAGAACCUAACAAGGCAAGUGUUAAAACUCCCCAUAGAAAAGCUUUCUCCCUAUAAAGUAGCACACAGCACUGAUUCUUUACAGCUGCCUCUCAAAGACAUGGAGCAUUCUAGCCAGGCCCCUUUCUGUUGCUCUCUUUAGGUCCCUCAACAGGAGA